AGAACAGGUUUUGCCUUCAGGGGUUCGGGAGUGAGUUGGAAGAGUGGGUACCCACGGUGGGGGCUGGGCCUCCCUGGGGUGUGGGGAGACAAAGGGGUCUACGUUCAAGUCGCCUCUUUCCCGCUUUGGGGCUCGAUGCCCGGGCUGUCUCGACGGUAGAGCUAUUGGGGUCCCGCCUGGCCCCAGUGAGUGCGGUGUCCUGCGCUGGAGCCACUUUCCUUCUAGAGGCAGGGGCGCGGCGGGUGAGACAGGUCCCCUCUCUGAGCCUCAGCGUCCCCCCUCUGUACAAUGGGGAUAAGAGUGCUGAACCCACAGGGUCGCUGAGAGCAUUCAGUGAUAACACAGGAGUAAGCCUGUGGCCCUGUGGUUAUUGCGGGGUCGUGAGUGCCUGUAUGAAUUCAGGCCACUUCUUAUUCCUUAUUAACUUUCUUGUUACGGGACAAACGAGCAAAGGAGAAGAGAAAGGCCCUGGCGGGGUGCUGGAAGAGCGGGUGACCCAAAAACGCAAACAGGAGAAGAUAAGAAGAGCUCCAAGAAAAGCCUGCUGUCCCUAGACAAAGAACCAGAAGAGGGAGGACCUUCUAAGAAAGAAAGCCUUUGGACAACAACUGCCCUAAUAUCACAGAAUGAAACACAGCUGCACCCUCACCACGGCAGCAAAGACUGAGCAGGAGGGAGUUCCCAUUGUGGCUCAGGGGUAACAAACCCGACUAGUAUCCAUGAGGACUCGGGUUCGAUCCCUGGCCUAGCUCAGUAGGUUAAAGUCCCAGCAUUGCGGUGAGCCGUGGUGUAGGUCGCAGAUGUGGCUUGGAUCUGGCUUUGCUGUGGCUGUGGUAUAGGUCGGCAGCUGCCACUCUGAUUCGACCCCUAGCCUGGGAAUCUCCAUAUGUCACAGGUGAGGCAAUAAAAAGACACACACACACACACACACACACACACACACACNCACACACACACACACACACACACACACACACACACACACACACACACACACACAUUCCUGUCGUGGUUCAGUGGAAACAAACCUGACUAUGAGGAUGCAGGUUCGAUCCCUGGCCUCACUCAGUGGGUUAAGGAUCAGGCAUUGCCGUGGGCUGUGGUGUAGGUCACAGAUGAGGCUCGAAUCUGGUGUUCUGUAUCUGUGGUAUAGGCCAGCAACUGUAGCUCUGAUUUGACCCCUCACCUGGGGAACUCCGUGUGCCAUAAAAAAACCAGAAGACUGAGUAUGAAAUGGGGGUUCCAUGCUCACUUGAUUGUAACCAAGUACCCCUCUCCACCCUUUGGGGUGGUAUCAGAGAAGAACUCAUGGGAAAGAGGGACUUAUUCCCACCUGGAAGAAAUGAGCACCACCCCACCCCCCUGAGCCCCCAAUGAUGUCAGUGGAGACCCUGCAGGGAGCCUGACUUCCACCCACUCCCAGUCAUAAUGAGGCUCCCUUCGCUUCCUCUCUGGUAGAACAGCCCCUCUCUGGGCUGGGGUCACCAAAAGCCAAGUGGGACAGUGGAACUUUCAUGAUGAGCCAAUGACAAAGAGGCCUCCUCCCCUCCAUGGUGUUAACAGAAGCCACAAGGAGAGCAGUAAGGAAGUGCCUUCCCACCCCUACCUGGGUGGUAUCCGUGGAGGCCUGGUGGGGAGUGAAAUCCUCCUGCCAAGCAGUAGUAACAAGGCAUCAUGUCCUUUCCACCCCCACGCCUACCCUGUCCCCCAGGUUAGAGGCUGAGUGGGGAACAUGGACUUUUAAUUUUUUGAGGGGGGCCACACCCUUGGCAUGUGGAAGUUUCCAAGCUAGGGGUCAAAUUGGAGCUGAAGCUGCCAGCCUACGUCACAGCCACAGCCACAGCAACAUGAGAUCUGAGCCAUGUCUGUGAUGUACACCACAGCUCAGGGCAAUGCUGGAUCCCUGACCCACUGAGUGAGGCCAGAGAUCGAACCUGCAUCCUCAUGGAUACUAAUCGGAUUCGUUUCUGCUGCACCGCAAUGGGAACUCCCUUUUAUCUUCUUUGCCAUCUCUCUCUGUGGUUAGGAAUGCAUGCUUGGAGUCAUUAACAUCCAUGAAGAGAGGACAGUAAUACCUCACCAGCAAGUUUGUGGUGAGGACUAAAUUCAGCCAAGAGCAUGAAGAAUCUAUCCAUUGGCCCUGUUUUCAAAAAAGCUUCGUAAAUAUUAGCUGUCUGUCCCUCACAGAUCACGGAACUCAUGUAGCUCCUUUACCUGCCCCAGCCCCCAACCUGGAAACAGGUCAGAAUCACCUUGGGAAGCCUUUUCUAAACCCUCACCUGAAACUCUCUUGUUGGUAGAAAUUGGAUUUCUGGAUCAAAGGCCAUUCAAGUAAUAACAUGGAAUAACAUGGGCCUCAGAAAAUGGAUAUUCUUAUUUGGUACCAACAGUGUAUGCCAGUGUCCAUUGCCUCCUCCUUCCUCCAGUACCAGCUGUUACCAUCCUAUGUCUUUAUUGUGAAUCUGAUUGCUCAUUUCCCCAGACCUGCCCUAUAUGAAGGUUCGUUUCAGAUGGCUGGGCUGAAGAGGGAAAGUGUUUUGUUUUCAGAGAAAGGGGGCAUAGUACGGUGAGGGGCACACAGUUACACCAGUAAAGCAUGGUAACUGCUGGAUCUCCCCCACCCUGUGCAGCUUCUGAGGCCAGUGGCUGAGCUCAUAUCAAGUGUCUGAAGGAGGCAGGUUCUGAGGGUCUGUGUCCUGAGGUUCGGCUGGAGCUUCUACUCCAGAUUCAAGGGCAGUGGUCCUGAGGAGACCCCAACACUUCACAUCUUUUGUGGGAUCUGACUCCUGGCUCAAGUGAGUUCACAGAUCUGAACAAAAGCAUGCUGUGGAAUAGCUCCUGUGAAGUUCACAAACGAGCCUAAAAGUAGGGGAGCUACUUUGAUCUCAUCAUGGGAGAAGAGGUUUAGCAGGUGGAAUGUCAUUCCAAAGCUCCAUGCUUUGUAGUAGCCCUGAGGCCCAUCUGACAGAAGCUUUUUUUUUUUUGGCUGAAAAGCAAUGGAUUGUCCAGUUGUGGAAGGAACUUACUUACUAAAGACCAGUUAUGCUCUUUAAUGUACAUUUGCAAUAAAUAUACCUAAAUUGUUUUCACUGUACAAAUAAUAAUCACCGAUUUCGAUGUAUCUUUCAGAUGAGUGUGGAAAUACGCAGUUGUUAGCUCUUCUAGCACUUUGAGAUUGUGAUAUAGAUUGUUUUCUGUUGACCACCGUUUUUUCCCCCUUAAAUAAUGAAAUUUUUUAAAGAGGCAGAAAAUUUCCAAGUGUUAGUUUAAAAUGUCAGUUACUGGAGCUCAAUAUUAUUUUUUAUUUUUUGGCUGCCCCACGGCAUAUGGAGUUCCCGGGCCAGGGAUCAGAUACAAGCCGCAGUUGCAACCUAAGCUGCAGCUGCAGCAACACUGGAUCCUUAACCCACUGUGCCAGGCCGGAGAUCGAACCUGUGUCUCAGCACUCCCAAGAUGCCACUGAUCCUGUUGCACCACAGCAGGAACUCCUAAAACGUAUAUUUUAAUAAAGAAUUAUUACCCUAGAGUUUGCCCUAUUAUAAUGAUAAUCAGCCUCGUUCCCUAAAAAAACCAGUUGCUCUUAAAUAUGAUGAUUUUCCUAGGAUGUAAUUUUUUUCCCAUCUUUUUAGGUCUGUACCCACAGCAUAUGGAAGUUCCCGGGUUAGGGGUCAAAUAGGAGCUGUAGCUGCCAGCCUACACCACAGCCACACCAAUGCCAGAUCCAAGCUGUGUCUGCCACCUACACCGCAGCUCACGGCAUCGCCGGAUGCUUAACCCACUGAGCAAGGCCAGGGAUAGAAUCCAAGUCCUCAUGCGUCCUAGUUGGGUUUGUUACUGCUGAGCUAUAAUGGGAACUCCUAGGAUGUAAUAUUUUUAUUUCUGUAUUUCAGAUGAAAAUAGAUAUCAGCUUUGCCUAAAUAUUUGGAUAUGUUUCAUUGUGAAUAAUUAUUUUUAUUUUGGUUAUAUGUAGUAUGGACCAAUUUGGUAAUACAUAGUGUGUACCUGUUAAUACUAUAAGAUCAUAGGAGUUCCCUUCGUGGCUCAGCAGUUAAUGAACCCAACUAGGAUCCAUGAGGAUGUGGUUUCAAUCCCUGGCCUUGCUCAGUGGGUUAGGGAUCCAGCAUUGCCGUGAGCUGUGGUGUAGGUCACAGACGAAGCUUGGAUCCUGCGUUGCUGUGGCUCUGGCAUAGGCUGGUGACUACAGCUCCGAUUUGACCCCUAGCCUGGGAAUUUCCAUAUGCCCGUGGGUGCGGCCCUUAAAAAAAAAAAAAAGCAAAAAAAAAAAAAUACUACAAGAGUGUAAUUUUGGGAGUCUUUCAACUGAUUAAUUGCACAGAGAAUUAUGAAUAUAUAUAUAUCUUUCAAAUACUUUAUAGAGGCAUGAUUAACAUACAAUAUGCUAUGCAUAUUUAAAGUAUAUGCUUUAAUGUUUUGACAUAUCUAUGCACCUCUGAAUCCAAUACUACAGUCCAGAUAAUGAACAUAUCCAUCAACUCAAAAAACUUCCUAGUGCUCCUUUGUAAUCUGCCCAUCUAACUCUCUCCUGACUCUCUCUCCACAUCACUCUACUCCUUUCCAGAUAACUAAUGAUCUUCCAUCACUAUAGGUUGGUUUCCUUAUCCCAUAAUUUUAAUAUGAAUGGAAUCAUAUGAUGUGUAUUUUUUGGUCUUUUUUCCUUCAACUUAAUUAUUUCUAGAUUUAUCCAUUGGUUAUAUUUACAAAUAGCUCCUUUUUAAUGUUGACUAAUAUUCUAUUAUGUGGAUAUGUCGCAAUUUGUUUUAUCAUUUAUCUGUUAAUGGAUAUUUGGAUGGUUUUCAAUUUCGGGCUCUUGUAAAUAAAGCUACUAUGAACAUUUGUUUAU
rnacentral:lncRNA from 1 species